AGGGAAUCUUCCACAAUGGACGAAAGUCUGAUGGAGCAACGCCGCGUGAGUGAUGAAGGGUUUCGGCUCGUAAAACUCUGUUGUUGGAGAAGAACGGGUGUCAGAGUAACUGUUGACAUCGUGACGGUAUCCAACCAGAAAGCCACGGCUAACUACGUGCCAGCAGCCGCGGUAAUACGUAGGUGGCAAGCGUUGUCCGGAUUUAUUGGGCGUAAAGCGAGCGCAGGCGGUUUUUUAGGUCUGAUGUGAAAGCCUUCGGCUUAACCGGAGAAGUGCAUCGGAAACCGGGAGACUUGAGUGCAGAAGAGGACAGUGGAACUCCAUGUGUAGCGGUGAAAUGCGUAGAUAUAUGGAAGAACACCAGUGGCGAAGGCGGCUGUCUGGUCUGCAACUGACGCUNAGGCUCGAAAGCAUGGGUAGCGAACAGGAUUAGAUACCCUUGGUA
rnacentral:rRNA from 1 species